AAAAAAGGUAAGCUACUAAGAGCGAAUGGUGGAUGCCUUGACUGGUAAAGGCGAUGAAGGACGUACUAGACUGCGAUAAGCUACGGGGAGCUGUCAAGAAGCUUUGAUCCGUAGAUUUCCGAAUGGGGCAACCCAAUGUAUAGAGAUAUACAUUACCUAUAUAGGAGCGAACGAGGGGAAUUGAAACAUCUUAGUACCCUCAGGAAAAGAAAUCAAUAGAGAUUGCGUCAGUAGCGGCGAGCGAAAGCGCAAGAGGGCAAACCCAGUGCUUGCACUGGGGGUUGUAGGACUGCAAUGUGCAAGAGGUAAGUUUAGCAGAACAUUCUGGAAAGUAUAACCAUAGAGGGUGAUAGUCCCGUAUGCGAAAAACAAACCUUAGCUAGCAGUAUCCUGAGUAGGGCGGGACACGAGGAAUCCUGUCUGAAUCUGGGUCGACCACGAUCCAACCCUAAAUACUAAUACCAGAUCGAUAGUGCACAAGUACCGUGAGGGAAAGGUGAAAAGAACUGAGGUGAUCAGAGUGAAAUAGAACCUGAAACCAUUUGCUUACAAUCAUUCAGAGCCCUAUGUAGCAAUACAGGGUGAUGGACUGCCUUUUGCAUAAUGAGCCUGCGAGUUGUGGUGUCUGGCAAGGUUAAGCAAACGCGAAGCCGUAGCGAAAGCGAGUCUGAAUAGGGCGCUUAGUCAGAUGCUGCAGACCCGAAACGAAGUGAUCUAUCCAUGAGCAAGUUGAAGCUAGUGUAAGAACUAGUGGAGGACUGAACCCAUAGGCGUUGAAAAGCCCCGGGAUGACUUGUGGAUAGGGGUGAAAGGCCAAUCAAACUUCGUGAUAGCUGGUUCUCUCCGAAAUAUAUUUAGGUAUAGCGUUGUGUCGUAAUAUAAGGGGGUAGAGCACUGAAUGGGCUAGGGCAUACACCAAUGUACCAAACCCUAUCAAACUCCGAAUACCUUA
rnacentral:rRNA from 1 species